rnacentral:tRNA from 1 species
UAUAUUUUAGUGUAAAUGCACGAUAGUUUUUGAUACUGUAAGUUAUAAGUUAAGUUAUAAAAUAUAA